rnacentral:rRNA from 1 species
UCUCAGUUCGGAUUGGAGUCUGCAACCCGACUCCAUGAAGCUGGAUUCGCUAGUAAUCGCGCAUCAGCCACGGCGCGGUGAAUACGUUCCCGGGCCUUGUACACACCGCCCGUCAAGCCAUGGAAGCCGGGAGUGCCUGAAGUGCGUGACCGCAAGGAGCGCCCUAAGGCAAUACCGGUGACUGGGGCUAAGUCGUAACAAGGUAUC